rnacentral:rRNA from 1 species
UCAGGCCUAACACAUGCAAGUCGAACGGUAACAGGCCGCAAGGUGCUGACGAGUGGCGAACGGGUGAGUAAUGCAUCGGAACGUGCCCAGUCGUGGGGGAUAACGCAGCGAAAGCUGCGCUAAUACCGCAUACGAUCUAUGGAUGAAAGCGGGGGACCGUAAGGCCUCGCGCGAUUGGAGCGGCCGAUGUCAGGUUAGGUAGUUGGUGGGGUAAAGGCUCACCAAGCCAACGAUCUGUAGCUGGUCUGAGAGGACGACCAGCCACACUGGGACUGAGACACGGCCCAGACUCCUACGGGAGGCAGCAGUGGGGAAUUUUGGACAAUGGGCGCAAGCCUGAUCCAGCAAUGCCGCGUGCAGGAAGAAGGCCUUCGGGUUGUAAACUGCUAUGUACGGAACGAAACGGUCUGGG